GUUUGACUGUCGAAAAAAUAAAAAAAAAAUAAAAAUAUUCAAAAAAAAGCAAAAGAAGUUCAAAAAAUUGCAUGAAAUUAAUUGCAAGUUAUGUAUGAGUUAACAUAAAUAUUGCAUGCAAUCGGCGCACUUCCCAUACAUAUCUACAAUUUUUACAUACAAUCUUCACACUCGAUGACAGUUCAAAAACCUCAUAAACACGAAAUUAACGAAACGAAAUUUUUUCAGCAAUGCGCUUGUGCCACUUUUUUUCUUCACGUCUUGAGAUCGUAAAAUUUUUCGUUGCGGCUAAUGAAAUUCUUAUGUCUCUCAAUUUUAUAAAAGAAACGACGGCAGUCAAUUGAGUGUAGGUUUUAAUAAACGCCUGAAGUCUCAAUAUGAAUAUCAAUAAAAAAAAUGUAUGAAAGAAGCUAAGCUAAGCUCAGUAUUUAUGAGCAUGUGAUGGAAGCAUACAAAGCUACUACAGCAUAAGCAUAACCACAAUGCUGGAUUUCGAUGAAUGGAGCCAGGCAAGCAGAUGUGCACUAUGGGAGUAUAUUCACAUAUCUAUGUAUAAAAUGUACUAUAAUAAAUAUAUAUGUAUAAGCCACUGUGUAAGUCAUUCUUCAUAAAUUUGCGUUAUUCAGACGCUUUUAUAGGCUUGCCGUAACAGUUUUAUAUGUUUGUAUAAAAGUUACUGGAAAAGGUUUAUGCUCCAUUUUAUAAGAGAUACUUCCUCAUUUCUACUUUCCUUUUGACAAUUUGAAUACUCCGGGUUGCUCUCCUUUGAAGUGAUUUCUCGAAUCUUUCCGUCAUAGCAAGCACAUAAUGGCACCGCAUAUGUUGAUAAACUGGCAGCAUAUACACACUACUUAAUAUUUAGUCUUUUGAAAGUGGAAUAGAGUUGCAGAUUCGAAGGAAAAUUUAACGAUAAAUCUUAAGUCUGUACUAGUAGGUAUAUGUAUCUCCAAAACAAAAUGAUAGGAAAGACGAACACGACGAAACCUCUAUUAUUGCAUCUAUUAUGUCUUCUAUUCUAUGAAAGCUUAGAUUGUUCAGAUAUUAUGUGGAAUAAUAUAACGAGUUCAUAGAAGAUAACAAGCCUCAAAUUUGUUGAUGAAAGCUUUGAAGGAUUAACCGUAAACCAAAAUUAAAAAAAAAACUGAUUAAACUCAUUUGAAGGCUUUUCGCAAUUUACACCAAAUAUUGGCCUGACUUCAGUCAGUUCUUCCUAAUAUCGCAAAAUAAAUUACUGGAUAAACAUUGAUAUACAUCAAGACACUAGAUGGAUCUUAUUAGGACUUUGAGACAGAAGCUUUCGUAUAUUCGAAACAUUAAUAGUUUGGAAAACUCGAAUGAAAUAUCUCAAACUCCUUCACAUAUUUUAGAACACUGAAAUAUCGGAAAUAAAUAUACUCAUCGAAUGUUGAAGAGGGGAAUACAUGUUAGACUAUCUACAAUUUAUACUUAUAUACACUUCAUUUAAAUGCUUCUUUAAAAAUUUUGCAUUCCUGCAAUAGAUGCAAUAGAUCAAAGAAGGCUUUGUUAAAUACCUGUGAGAUUUAUAUUCAUUAAAUAUUUAGGAGCAACUUACACUUUUCUUAGUGUAUUUUAUAGUUUCUUCAGAAUUAUUCUCCAAAAUUUUUUUUAUUUAGUUUUAAAAAACAUAUUUUCAUUCUUCACUUCCCAUUUCUGCAAAAUAGUUAUCUUUCUGCUCCAUUUCUACAUGUAUCUAACGGACCUAUGUGAGGUUACUCUUUGUUCUUGGACCACUACCUCAUUCCAUAUGUUCACAUCUGUCUAUGGGAAACAGAUACGUAAAAAAUUUAAAUAUUGAAGAAAGCUGCCCGAGUGUAAAAGUUUUCUAAAGAAAGGCAACAAAUUAUAUUUAGAAGCGUUAAAGUCGUAAAAAUUUAUUCCAUUCGAAGCGUCAGCAACAAAGUGCGACUACUUUAUGGUUUUUAGUUUUCAAUGAAAGCAACCAAUUCUUUAUAAAACCAUUCUUUAGAAAUUUGUUGUAGCCAAAUUACAUUAUGAAAGCUUAACAAAAGGAAUGAAAUGUUAAAAUAAAAUGUGUAAUAAUAGUAGUUCAUUCGAUAAACCAAUAAAAUGAGCAGUUUAAUUAAUCCGAAUGAUAGCUUUGGAUUUCUGGUGCAAAAUGUGAAUCUUUUGACGAAGCGUCAGUAUAUACAAUAGUUGGAAAUUAAUUGAAGACUAUGAGAGCCUGCGGGUUGUGCACUCCUGUUUGAAGAGCUUCCUUUAUAUUGAAUGGUUUUUCGGUUUGGUUCGAUCUUCAGCUCUUCAUUUUAUACAAAAUUAUGUGUUAUGUUAAUCGUUCUUUCGAUUUUUAAGGCCCUGCAGUUCGAAAAGAUAUGACAGUAUGCCAGUAUGCGAUCCCAGCUGAUUACAAUAGUGGGGAAGUCGAAGAUCUACUUUUCGAAGAAACAUGACGUAAGUGAUUUGAAAACAUAAACUUAAGUCAAAUCGUCUGCAAGCCUUUCAGAGCACAAGCUACAGAUGUUAGAGGAACAUUAAUUGUAAAUAUUUAUGGAAUGCUGAUAUUUAUGGAAUGACUGAUUCUUCAUAAAUAUCGGAAAACAAA